rnacentral:rRNA from 1 species
AUUGAACGCUGGCGGCAUGCCUUACACAUGCAAGUCGAACGGCAGCACGGGUGCUUGCACCUGGUGGCGAGUGGCGAACGGGUGAGUAAUACAUCGGAACGUACCUUAUCGUGGGGGAUAACGCAGCGAAAGCUGUGCUAAUACCGCAUACGCCCUGAGGGGGAAAGCGGGGGAUCGCAAGACUCCGCCCGAUUAGAGCGGCCGAUGCCCGAUUAGCUUGUUGGUGGGGUAAAAGCCCACCAAGGCGACGAUCAGUAGCUGGUCUGAGAGGACGAUCAGCCACACUGGGACUGAGACACGGCCCAGACUCCUACGGGAGGCAGCAGUGGGGAAUUUUGGACAAUGGGGGCAACCCUGAUCCAGCAAUGCCGCGUGAGUGAAGAAGGCCUUCGGGUUGUAAAGCUCUUUUGUCAGGGAAGAAACACCGGCUCUAACACAGUCCGGGAAUGACGGUACCUGAAGAAUAAGCACCGGCUAACUACGUGCCAGCCGCCGCGGUAA